GAUGAACGCUGGCGGCGUGCCUAAUACAUGCAAGUCGAGCGAACAGAUGAGGAGCUUGCUCCUCUGACGUUAGCGGCGGACGGGUGAGUAACACGUGGAUAACCUACCUAUAAGACUGGGAUAACUUCGGGAAACCGGAGCUAAUACCGGAUAAUAUAUUGAACCGCAUGGUUCAAUAGUGAAAGACGGUUUUGCUGUCACUUAUAGAUCGAUCCGCGCCGCAUUAGCUAGUUGGUAAGGUAACGGCUUACCAAGGCAACGAUGCGUAGCCGACCUGAGAGGGUGAUGGGCCACACUGGAACUGAGACACGGUCCAGACUCCUACGGGAGGCAGCAGUAGGGAAUCUUGCGCAAUGGGCGAAAGCCUGACGGAGCAACGCCGCGUGAGUGAUGAAGGUCUUCGGAGCGGAAAACUCUGUUAUUAGUGAAGAACAAAUGUGUAAGUAACUAUGCACGUCUUGACGGUACCUAAUCAGAAAGCCACGGCUAACUACGUG
rnacentral:rRNA from 1 species